rnacentral:rRNA from 1 species
UACGUAGGGGGCAAGCGUUGUCCGGAUUUAUUGGGCGUAAAGAGCGUGUAGGCGGCUGGGUAGGUCUGCUGUGAAAACUCGAGGCUUAACCUCGAGACGUCGGUGGAAACCAUCCAGCUAGAGUCCGGAAGAGGAGAGUGGAAUUCCUGGUGUAGCGGUGAAAUGCGCAGAUAUCAGGAAGAACACCCGUGGCGAAAGCGGCUCUCUGGGACGGUACUGACGCUGAGACGCGAAAGCGUGGGGAGCGAACAGG